UACGGAGGAUGCAAGCGUUAUCCGGAUUUAUUGGGCGUAAAGCGUCCGCAGGUGGUUGUUCAAGUCUGCUGUUAAAGCGCGAGGCUUAACCUUGUACAGGCAGUGGAAACUGAGCGACUAGAGUAUGGUAGGGGUAGCGGGAAUUCCCAGCGUAGCGGUGAAAUGCGUAGAUAUUGGGAAGAACACCAGCGGCGAAAGCGCGCUACUGGGCCAUUACUGACACUCAUGGACGAAAGCUAGGGGAGCGAAAGGG
rnacentral:rRNA from 1 species